AGAGUUUGAUCAUGGCUCAGGAUGAACGCUGGCGGCGUGCCUAAUACAUGCAAGUCGAACGGAAGUAGUAAUACUUUAGUGGCGACCGGGUGCGUAACACGUAGCUGACCUGCCCCUCAGCGGGGGACAACACCGGGAAACUGGUGCUAAUACCGCAUAGUUUCGGGAGAAUUAGAACAUCUCGAAUAAACUUACGGGGCUGAGGGAGGGGGCUGCGGCCCAUCAGGUAGUUGGUGAGGUAGAAGCUCACCAAGCCGACGACGGGUAGGGGACCUGAGAGGGUGGUCCCCCACACUGGGACUGACAACGGCCCAGACUCCUACGGGAGGCAGCAGUAAGGGAUAUUGCGCAAUGGGCGAAAGCCUGACGCAGCAACGCCGCGUGGAGGAAGAAGGCCUUCGGGUCGUAAACUCCUUUUGGGUCUGACGAGGAAGGACGGUAGGACCCGAAUAAGUCACGGCUAACUACGUGCCAGCAGCCGCGGUAAUUC
rnacentral:rRNA from 1 species